GACGUCGUAAUAGGUAGGAGGCUAUUCGUGAUUCUUGUAUUUAUUGAACGCAAAGCGAGCGCAGGCUGUUUUUUUAAGUCUGAUGUGAAAGCCCUCGGCUUAACCGAGGAAGCGCAUCGGAAACUGGGAAACUUGAGUGCAGAAGAGGACAGUGGAACUCCAUGUGUAGCGGUGAAAUGCGUAGAUAUAUGGAAGAACACCAGUGGCGAAGGCGGCUGUCUGGUCUGUAACUGACGCUGAGGCUCGAAAGCAUGGGUAGCGAACAGGAUUAGAUACCCUGGUAGUCCAUGCCGUAAACGAUGAAUGCUAGGUGUUGGAGGGUUUCCGCCCUUCAGUGCCGCAGCUAACGCAUUAAGCAUUCCGCCUGGGGAGUACGACCGCAAGGUUGAAACUCAAAGGAAUUGACGGGGGCCCGCACAAGCGGUGGAGCAUGUGGUUUAAUUCGAAGCAACGCGAAGAACCUUACCAGGUCUUGACAUCUUUUGAUCACCUGAGAGAUCAGGUUUCCCCUUCGGGGGCAAAAUGACAGGUGGUGCAUGGUUGUCGUCAGCUCGUGUCGUGAGAUGUUGGGUUAAGUCCCGCAACGAGCGCAACCCUUAUGACUAGUUGCCAGCAUUUAGUUGGGCACUCUAGUAAGACUGCCGGUGACAAACCGGAGGAAGGUGGGGAUGACGUCAAAUCAUCAUGCCCCUUAUGACCUGGGCUACACACGUGCUACAAUGGAUGGUACAACGAGUUGCGAGACCGCGAGGUCAAGCUAAUCUCUUAAAGCCAUUCUCAGUUCGGACUGUAGGCUGCAACUCGCCUACACGAAGUCGGAAUCGCUAGUAAUCGCGGAUCAGCACGCCGCGGUGAAUACGUUCCCGGGCCUUGUACACACCGCCCGUCACACCAUGAGAGUUUGUAACACCCGAAGCCGGUGGCGUAACCCUUUUAGGGAGCGAGCCGUCUAAGGUGGGACAAAUGAUUAGGGUGAAGUCGUAACAAGAGCCGAGUUCCC
rnacentral:rRNA from 2 species